AUGGCGUCUUCUGGCGGCGCGCGCUCACCGGCGGCGGUGGUCUUAGACGACCUUGUGGAUGUUCGCGACCGCGUGGCUAUGCUGCAGACCGUGCUGCAGGAGUCUUCGCCUGGGGCGACCGUAGAAGCGGGGGAGCUGGUGGAGGGGAUGACGGCCAAGCUGUCAAGCGCCUUGUCGGCCGUUCUCGGCACCGGCGACGGCAGCGUGGCGUCGUCGUCGUCGGGAGCAGGCGGGGGACCGGGCGGGAGGAGGAGGAGAACCGGCGCGGCGUCGUCCGGGCCGCACCGCCGGAGCAGCUCCAGGGGAAGGAUGAAGAGCCCUCUAAUCAAGACGGUCACCGCUACGACGCUCACAGAUGGCAAGUCAUGGAGGAAGUACGGACAGAAACAGAUAAAUGACUCAACUAACCCGAGGAGCUACUACAGGUGCACGCAUUUGCCAGAUCAAGGCUGCAAGGCCAAGAGGCACGUCCACGUAUCCGAGGCCAACCCGUCGGAGUACACCAUCGACUACUACGGCCAGCACACCUGCAGGGACCCCUCCACGUUCCCAUCGCUCAUCGUCCAAGGUGCCGCCGACACUGCCCCGCCGCCGGACUGCGCAAACCUCAUCAGCUUCGCGCCCAUCAAUGGAGCCAACCGCGCUUUCACCGCAAGCACGAGCACGAGCGCUUUUGCUCAUCAUCUUAUGAAAGAACCGGUUGAUCAUCAUCCAAUGCUCUUCUCCCAAUUCUCCAACUACAGCUCCUCGCCGCCGGCUCAGGAGGGUAUACCCAGUGGCUCGUCAUCGCGGGCUUGCCACGAAAGGUUCAUGCAGUACGCCGGCGGGCAAUUUGUGGACAUAACUGGCCGGAGUACGUCGCCGUUGACCGUGGGAUCAGCCCCAGCUGAGUACUGGCCAGUGGUGGGUGUUGCCGGUGUCGACAUGGAUGCUGGCGCGGGCAUGGACAGCUUCCCUUCCUCGCCGAGCAGCCUCGGGUUCAUGUCGGGAUCGUUGGGGGGAUCAUUUGGCAACACCGUUUGCGACGACGACCUGUUCAGCUUUGAUUCCUGA
rnacentral:rRNA from 1 species